GGUACGUUGUAUGCGAAGCCGAAAUAAAAACUUUUGUGUCGCGUCUUCGUCACGAAAAAACAUCACCUCAUUUUUUUUUAUAAUUAAUGAGCCCCCAUAAUGAGGCAAAAACUUUGUUCUCCGACCCUUUUUCGGGAAGGUGGAACAGCUAUUGUCAUACAGCUAAAGAAUCUGAAAAUAUCAUGCAGCAAAUUGGGAAAAACAUUCAGAAUGCAGUGUACCGUGUAAAUUUUUCUUUGAAGCUUCAAAGUGUGUCUGUGAAAAAUGUAGCUUCUGUGACUUCAGACACAAGUGAUAGAUGGUCAAAGAAUGUGAAGUCUUUUGAUGAUAUCCCAGGGCCCAAAGGCUUGCCUUAUUUUGGAACUCUUCUGCCGUACAGGCUAGGCUGGCUAAACAUGAAAAAUGUUCCUGACGUCCUAAGACAGUGGUACAAGCAGUAUGGUGGUAUUGUCAAAGAAAUAAGGGCUGGUCACACUGUCGUACACAUCUUUGACCCUGACUUGAUCCGCUUUGUGUAUGCUGGUGAGGACAAAUGGCCCCGCAUUGAACCUUUGCUAGAAACAACACAGCUAUAUCGAAAACAGUUUGAUAUGUCUCCAGGGUUAGGAAACACCAAUGAUGAAGAAUGGUAUCGGCUACGAACUGCCAUCCAGCAGCUCAUGAUGCGACCAAAAGAGGUGCUGUUCUUUCUACCUGGGGCUGACAGAGUGGCACUGGACUUUGUAUCACACAUCAAGCAGCACAGAAAUUCCAGAAAUGAGGUACCAGACUUCAGCACUGAGCUUGGAAGGUGGUCUUUAGAAUCAUCAGGAGUGGGCAGUUUUGACAGGUGCUUGGGAUUUCUAACAGAAUCUGGUAGAAGAGAAGCUGUGGAGUUAAUUGAUGCAAACACCACAGUGUUUGAGUUGACAGCAAAACUCAAGUUUGCACUUCCUCUGUACAAGUACCUGCCAAGUCCCACCUGGAAGAGGCUUGUGGCAGCUGAAAGCACUAUAUUCAGAGAAUUCAAGCGCCAUUUUGAUACCACCUUUGAGACAUUAAAGAAGAAGAUAACCAGUGGUCAGCUGAAGGAAGGGGAAUUCCGUUUUCUUUGCUACAUGUUGGGAAGACCAGAACUGGGAGAGAAGGAUAUUGUCACACUCACACUGUCACGCUUCAUUGAUGGCUUGUCUACCACAACCCAGGCCCUACUGUUUGCACUAUACUGCCUUGCUACAAAUUCUGCAGCACAGGAAAAGGCGUUUGAGGAAAUUAAUUCUCUUUUGAGUCCCUCAUCUACUUUGACUGCCGAUACUUUCAAUCAGCUUUCAUACGUCCGAGCUAUUAUUAAAGAGAGCUUCAGGUAAUAGGAGAGGACUGUUCCCUAUCAAUAUCGAGAUUGCCCGAGUCACUAAAAAAAAUAUGAUUAUUGGUGAUUACCAGAUUCCAGAAGGGACUGUCAUUCAUUUAAAUAACACCACCUUGUUCCGUGACCCUGAGUUCUUUGAAGAACCUGAC
rnacentral:misc_RNA from 1 species